rnacentral:lncRNA from 1 species
CUCGGUGCUCUGGGCUCCCACCCAGGCCAGGGGGCGGUGCCUGCCCCAGCCCCUCCCACUUCCCCUGUCUCUGUGUUUCCAUCCCUUUCUUCACUGGAGGCCCUGGCCACAGGCAACCUGCAGACGGGGCUACUGGCAACCCUCCCCCCCCUCCCCGGCUCGGUUGGAGCCCUGCACAGCAGUGGUUAGCUCACAGGCUCCGAGACUGACCAUGUCAGUCGGAUUCGGAUCCUGGCUCUGUAUUCUAGGAACUGUGCAGCUUGGAGCAAGUAACUUGCUACCAUGUCCUCUUCCGGGAAAUGGAGUUUCGCAGAGUGCCUGGCUGGCACACAGACCGUGCCCCACACAGGACUCGGCACAGUUGUGGUUUUCCCUGUGAAGCCUAAAGCUGCUGCUAAGUCUUCACCUAGAAAGCUCUCCCAGGCCUACUGAGAGGACUCACCAGCAUUCUUC